rnacentral:lncRNA from 1 species
AUAUAACCCAUCACUUCAACUGGAAAGCAAAUGUAUCCUACUAUUAGAGUUUAUCUCGAAAUGCUUUGGGAAAUCUCAGGGGGCUGGAGGAACCCUCAGCUCAAGCCAUUUGUGGGAUGUGUUGGUCCGGCAUAGACUCCAGCCAAAAGACCAAAUAUUGCCUUUUGUUGUUUCCUGGAGGGAAGGAUAUGGACAACAAUGAUCUGGCCGUGGGGAAGAUUCAAGGGAAUAAAAAUGAAUCAUCACCAGCCACCAGGAAGCACCAGGAGCUCUCUAAAUGGAAUGGAGGCCUCCCAUACCUUGGGCAUUGAUAAACCUUGGCUGUUGCUUCAAAUAUAAAUGAUUCUAGAACAUCAGAAUAACUAGUAACAGUAAGAUUACUCAAAUAAGCAAAUAAAAUCAAAGAAGCUCCUGGUUCCUGGCACACAGCUCCUAACACCAUUGGAAUCUCUGGAGUGAAAAGAGUGUCUUUUGUAAGUGAAUGAGAUGACUGAAGGUCGGGGGCCUGUAGAUAGCCCCUUCUCCUAUACCUCGACCUAUACAUCUCUUCCAUGUUUCUUUCAUCUGUAUGCUUUGUAACAUUCUUUAUAAUAAACAAGUAAGUGUAAGUG